GGCAGAAGCCUCUAGGACUUUUCUGACCUUAGGAGGUCAGUCCUGAGUUCAGGGGAUCAAUCCUGAGCUCAGGGGGUCAAGGGGUCUCACACCAGGACCGGGCCCAGAUGGUGACCGAGGAAACCAAGACCCUUAAGAACUCUCAGCUGUAGGCUCCCCACUUAGGGACCCCAACUGCCCCAACUGAACGUGAACGUGGGAAGCCCAACAGCUGGCCCUGGAAGGAUGAAACCACAGCCAUGAGCAUGUGGUCGCAGGAGGGAAACUACCCGUCACACGGGCAACGUCAAAAUGAGCAGGCGGCCGUCUCCGAGUCUGUCUGUCUGCUGGCAGCUCCUUGCCAUCGAGUGGUCAC